AACGCAUAUUGCGCCCUUUGGUAUUCCGAAGGGCAUGCCUAUUCGAGCGUCAUUAUCAACCCUCAAGCCUGGCUUGUUAUUGGGUCUCUAUCGUCGUUGAGAUGAUAGGCCCGAAAGAUAAUGGCGGUGUUAAGAUUUAACCCCAGGUGCAGCGAGCUUUAAGCAUACACUGACAGGUGGUCUUGACCCGGCCUCAACCCCAUAUUUUUUCAAAGGUUGACCUCGGAUUAGGUAGGAAUACCCGCUGAACUUAA
rnacentral:misc_RNA from 1 species